rnacentral:rRNA from 1 species
AGUGAACGCUGGCGGUAGGCCUAACACAUGCAAGUCGAACGGCAGCACAGUAAGAGCUUGCUCUUACGGGUGGCGAGUGGCGGACGGGUGAGGAAUACAUCGGAAUCUACUUUUUCGUGGGGGAUAACGUAGGGAAACUUACGCUAAUACAGCAUACGACCUACGGGUGAAAGCAGGGGAUCUUCGGACCUUGCGCGAAUGAAUGAGCCGAUGUCGGAUUAGCUAGUUGGCGGGGUAAAGGCCCACCAAGGCGACGAUCCGUAGCUGGUCUGAGAGGAUGAUCGGCCACACUGGAACUGAGACACGGUCCAGACUCCUGCGGGAGGCAGCAGUGGGGAAUAUUGGGCAAUAGGCGCGAACCUUAUCCAGCCAUACCGCGUGGGUGAAGAAGGCCUUCGGGUUGUAAAGCCCUUUUGUUGGGAAAGAAAAGCAGCAGGUUAAUACCCCGCUGUUCUGACGGUACCCAAAGAAUAAGCACCGGCUAACUUCGUG